rnacentral:lncRNA from 1 species
CAGCCAAUCCAGCAGCAAUAACGGAAGCAGCAGAAAUCAGUGGAUUCAUGAUAAGUUCCUCGUACCAACAAAAAGAAAUGGUUAAUGAUACAAUCAACCAAUGAAUUAUGACUUAAUUAUUCCAUCGAUAGGAUUCAUCCAGUCGAAGUAACUAAGAACUUGGAAUUUAAGUGAGAAUAUUAUUAAAUGAUCAGAACUACUACUACUUCGAUAUCUCUUUUUUCGUUUCUAUCCACAGAGA